rnacentral:rRNA from 1 species
UACGUAGGGUGCAAGCGUUUAAUCGGAAUUACUGGGCGUAAGCGUGCGCAGGCGGUUAUGUAAGACAGAUGUGAAAUGCCCGGGCUUAACCUGGGAACUGCAUUUGUGACUGCAUGGCUAGAGUUUGGCAGAGGGGGGUAGAAUUCCACGUGUAGCAGUGAAAUGCGUAGAUAUGUGGAGGAACACCGAUGGCGAAGGCAGCCCCCCUGGGUCAAGACUGACGCUCAUGCACGAAAGCGUGGGGAGCAAACAGG